rnacentral:rRNA from 1 species
UACGUAUGGUGCAAGCGUUAUCCGGAUUUACUGGGUGUAAAGGGGGCGUAGACGGCUGUGUAAGUCUGAAGUGAAAGCCCGGGGCUCAACCCCGGGACUGCUUUGGAAACUAUGCAGCUAGAGUGUCGGAGAGGUAAGUGGAAUUCCCAGUGUAGCGGUGAAAUGCGUAGAUAUUGGGAGGAACACCAGUGGCGAAGGCGGCUUACUGGACGAUGACUGACGUUGAGGCUCGAAAGCGUGGGGAGCAAACAGG